AGCAGUAGCCGCGGGAAUACGUAGGUGGCAAGCGUUGUCCGGAAUUAUUGGGCGUAAAGGGCUCGCAGGCGGUUUCUUAAGUCUGAUGCGAAAGCCCCCGGCUCAACCGGGGAGGGUCAUUGGAAACUGGGAAACUUGAGUGCAGAAGAGGAGAGUGGAAUUCCACGUGUAGCAGUGAAAUGCGUAGAGAUGUGGAGGGACACCAGUGGCGAAGGCGACUCUCUGGUCUGCAACUGACGCUGAGGAGCGAAAGCGUGGGGAGCGAACAGGAUUAGAUACCCCCGUAGUCCCUGUCUCUUAUAC
rnacentral:rRNA from 1 species